CCCGCUGAACUUAAGCAUAUCAAUAAGCGGAGGAAAAGAAACUAACAAGGAUUCCCCUAGUAACGGCGAGUGAAGCGGGAACAGCUCAAAUUUGAAACCUGGCGUCCUUAGGGCGUCCGGAUUGUAUUCUAGAGAAGCGUCUUCCACGCUGGUCCACGUAUAAGUGCCCUGGAACGGGCUGUCAUAGAGGGUGAGAAUCCCGUCCUUGACGUGGGCUACCAGUGUUUUUGUGAUGCGCUUUCUAAGAGUCGAGUUGUUUGGGAAUGCAGCUCAAAGUGGGUGGUAAAUUCCAUCUAAAGCUAAAUAUUGGCCUGAGACCGAUAGCGAACAAGUACCGUGAGGGAAAGAUGAAAAGCACUUUGAAAAGAGAGUCAAACAGUACGUGAAAUUGCUGAAAGGGAAACGCUUGAAGUCAGUCGCGCCCCCUGGAAUUCAGCCCUGCUUUUGUAGGGUGUACUUUCCAGGGGGCGGGCCAACAUCAGUUUUGACCGGCAGAUAAAGGCUGGAGGAAUGUGGCUCCUUCGGGAGUGUUAUAGCCCCUGGUCACAUAUGCCGGAAGGGACUGAGGAACGCAGCGCGCCCUUGUGGCAAACCUCUCGCGCACUUUCGCGCUUAGGAUGUUGGCAUAAUGGCUUUAAGCGACCCGUCUUGAAACACGG
rnacentral:rRNA from 1 species